rnacentral:rRNA from 1 species
UAUACGGGCCGCAGCAGGCGCGAAAACUUCGCAAUAAGCGAAAGCUUGACGGGGCUAUCCCGAGUGCCGUCUGCUGAAGAUGGCUUUUWCCUMGUGUAGAUAGCUGGGAGAAUAAGGGGAGGGCAAGUCUGGUGUCAGCCGCCGCGGUAAUACCAGCUCUCCGAGUGGUGGGGAUGAUUAUUGGGCCUAAAGCAUCCGUAGCCGGCUGGACAAGUCCCCUGUUAAAUCCAACGAUCCAAUCGUUGGUCUGCGGGGGAUACUGUCCGGCUAGGGGGCGGGAGAGGCCGGCGGUAUUUCCGGGGUAGGGGUGAAAUCCUAUAAUCCCGGGAGGACCACCAGUGGCGAAGGCUGUCGGCUAGAACGCGCCCGACGGUGAGGGAUGAAAGCUGGGGGAGCGAACCGGAUUAGAUACCCGGGUAGUCCCAGCUGUAAACGAUGCAGGCUAGGUGUUAGGGCGGCUACGUGCCGCUCUAGUGCCGCAGGGAAGCUG